rnacentral:rRNA from 1 species
AGGCAGCAGUGGGGAAUUUUGGACAAUGGGCGAAAGCCUGAUCCAGCAAUGCCGCGUGUGCGAAGAAGGCCUUCGGGUUGUAAAGCACUUUUGUCAGGGAAGAAAACUGUUUGGCUAAUACCCGAAUAGGAUGACGGUACCUGAAGAAUAAGCACCGGCUAACUAC